AACGCUUUGUCUUUAAYUGAUMUGAMGAGCUUGCUCUGAUKUGAUUUUAUCUGACAAAGAGUGGCGAACGGGUGAGUAACACGUGGGUAACCUACCUCUUAGCAGGGGAUAACAUUUGGAAACAAGUGCUAAUACCGUAUAAUACCAACAACCGCAUGGUUKUKGGUUGAAAGAUGGUUCUGCUAUCACUAAGAGAUGGACCCGCGGUGCAUUAGCUAGUUGGUAAGGUAACGGCUUACCAAGGCRAUGAUGCAUASCCGAGUUGAGAGACUGAUCGGCCACAAUGGGACUGAGACACGGCCCAUACUCCUACGGGAGGC
rnacentral:rRNA from 1 species